UACGUAGGGACCAAGCGUUGUUCGGAUUUACUGGGCGUAAAGGGCGCGUAGGCGGCAAUUCAAGUCAGCUGUGAAAUCUCCGGGCUUAACUCGGAACGGUCAGCUGAUACUGCUUUGCUAGAGUGCAGAAGGGGCAAUCGGAAUUCUUGGUGUAGCGGUGAAAUGCGUAGAUAUCAAGAGGAACACCUGAGGUGAAGACGGGUUGCUGGGCUGACAUUGACGCUGAGUGCGCGAAAGCUAGGGUAGCAAACGGGG
rnacentral:rRNA from 1 species